GGGCUUCAAAUUAACCCCUACAUGGCUUAUAUAAACCCUGCCCGCUUCGGUGGGAUAUGGCGAUAAAUUGCGCGUGUAAUAACCGUAUCGGACCCGGGGGCGGUACCCGGCGGCUCCACCAAAACCCUUCUCGCUAUCUGGCGGAGGGCUUCGACGGGGCCGAAAUAGGAUCGACGAGCGUCUAAAGACGAUGUUUUUGCCCGGUUUGCCUCCGUUAUUUGGCUAAACUGAAUAGUUGCUAAUGACAACAAUUCGGAAGAGUUCGCUCUUGCUGCGUAAUGCGGCUGAGUAAGCUCGAUUUCUAAGUCCUGACCUCUUCCAAGGCCAGGCGGGGCCCCCCGGCGCCUGGCAACAGAAGCCGGGACU
rnacentral:tmRNA from 1 species